UACGUAGGGGGCAAGCGUUGUCCGGAAUUACUGGGCGUAAAGAGCUCGUAGGUGGUUUGUCGCGUUGUCCGUGAAAACUCACAACUCAAUUGUGGGCGUGCGGGCGAUACGGGCAGACUGGAGUACUGCAGGGGAGACUGGAAUUCCUGGUGUAGCGGUGGAAUGCGCAGAUAUCAGGAGGAACACCGGUGGCGAAGGCGGGUCUCUGGGCCGAAAUUGACGCUGAGGAGCGAAAGCGUGGGGAGCAAACAGG
rnacentral:rRNA from 1 species